CCGUCGCUUGCAGUGGUGGACGGCGGCACUUCGGCGGGUCCGAGGGACAGAUCUGAAAGAAGGGCAGCGAUGCUCUUCUUUUUGACAGAGGGAGUCACCCGUGGUCCGUCAGCUCGCUCCGGCGUCCGGGGUCGGGUUACCGCAUAGAUUUCGUGUGGCCACCGGAAUCUGGGAUCCGGCGGUGCUCUGCCAUACACUUGGUGGUGCUUCUGUGGAAGGAGAGCCUGCUGAGAAUGGAUGUGGAAGACCAACUGCAAAGGUUUCUGUUCUCUUUUUUUUUUUUUUUUUUGUCAGACUGUCCCACUGCAGCCCAGAAAAUGGCAGUGAAAGAAUGGGAAGGGAAGUAGACUGACAGGAUCGGGGCGUUGGCACAGAGGCAAAGCCCAACAGUGCUCUGAUACCAAAC
rnacentral:lncRNA from 1 species